GCAUGCCUUACACAUGCAAGUCGAACGGCAGCACGGGAGCAAUCCUGGUGGCGAGUGGCGAACGGGUGAGUAAUAUAUCAGGAACGUGCCCAGUAGUGGGGGAUAGCCCGGCGAAAGCCGGAUUAAUACCGCAUACGACCUGAGGGUGAAAGCGGGGGAUCGCAAGACCUCGCGCUAUUGGAGCGGCCGAUAUCAGAUUAGCUAGUUGGUGGGGUAAAGGCCUACCAAGGCUACGAUCUGUAGUUGGUCUGAGAGGACGACCAGCCACACUGGGACUGAGACACGGCCCAGACUCCUACGGGAGGCAGCAGUGGGGAAUUUUGGACAAUGGGCGCAAGCCUGAUCCAGCAAUGCCGCGUGCAGGAAGAAGGCCUUCGGGUUGUAAACCUGCUUUUGUCAGGGAAGAAAUCUUCUGGGCUAAUAC
rnacentral:rRNA from 1 species